rnacentral:rRNA from 1 species
UAGCGCCUCGUGAAUUCAUCUCCGGGGGUAGAGCACUGUUUCGGCUAGGGGGCCAUCCCGGCUUACCAACCCGAUGCAAACUGCGAAUACCGGAGAAUGUUAUCACGGGAGACACACGGCGGGUGCUAACGUCCGUCGUGAAGAGGGAAACAACCCAGACCGCCAGCUAAGGUCCCAAAGUCAUGGUUAAGUGGGAAACGAUGUGGGAAGGCCCAGACAGCCAGGAUGUUGGCUUAGAAGCAGCCAUCAUUUAAAGAAAGCGUAAUAGCUCACUGGUCGAGUCGGCCUGCGCGGAAGAUGUAACGGGGCUAAACCAUGCACCGAAGCUGCGGCAGCGACACUGUGUGUUGUUGGGUAGGGGAGCGUUCUGUAAGCCUGUGAAGGUGUGUCGUGAGGCAUGCUGGAGGU